UGUCCACAUCACGUUGAAACAACGUUACUCGUACGACUACCGAUGUUAAGCAUCGUCGGACGUGGUCAGUACUUACAUGGGUGACCACCUGUGAAGGCCAGCUGCUGUAAG